AUGCUUACUUUGGCAACAUAUAUACUAAAAUUGGAAUGAUAUAGAAAAGAUUACCAUGAACCCUGUGCAAGGGUGACAGGCAGACUGGGGAAAGGUGCUAUAUUUCU
ensembl:snRNA U6 U6 spliceosomal RNA